GUGCGUCAAAUACAUGGUAUGUAGUGUGUGUAAUGUUUUCUUUAUUGAUUUAAUGUAUCUUUUAUGCAUUAUUUUAAAAAAAUAUUUGUAUUGUGCACUUCUUCUCUAUAUUCUCUAUAAGUGUGGAAAAUUUCAUAGUCCUCCGUCCGCGCUAUUUUCGUAAAAAGGGAUACAAAGUUUUUGCUUCACGUAUUAAUAUAUAGAUUGAUUCAGUGAAAGCUCUGUGCGACAACUAUAUAUAAACUAAAUAACCAAACGACGCGGAUCAUGUGUUAGUGGGAAUGCAAUCGCCUGUUCAAUUGUUACAGCCGAAACACUUUACUUAAUGACUUCGGACAAUAGCUAUAAAUGAACGAACAUUCAGCAACUUAUUUAAUUAAGAGCGAUACUAUAAUAGGAACCUAUUAAUGGACAUCGAUACGUUAUCGUCGUUUCCAUGACAAUAAUUAACUUAUCUGUUAACAAUCUGUAAAUUGCUUUGUAAACGAAUAUAAAAUAUAUGAUCGUAUGGGUCAUUUCGAAAGAACAA